rnacentral:lncRNA from 1 species
CCCGGUACUGUAGUGCGGUUCCCUCGUGCGUGCUGUUCGUCGGUGGUUUCUCCACCUUGAUGCUGAUCCAGGGCGAUGCAGGUGGUUCCCCUCUCUCUGUACUCCCUCUUCCUCAUUAAAUGGCGGAUCCAAGGUUUUCCCCAUAGACGAACAUGGAAAAAAGUGAGCAGGGAAAAAAGUGAGCACAGUGACAAUGGUUUUGCGGUUCAUUUUGAUUUCGUUUUUUGGCUGAAAUCUUCAGUGCACGACGAGGGACGAAUCCGGCGCUCCGUUGCUCCGUUCCCCUCUCUGCUGCUCCGUUGCUUGAUUCCCUCCUCUGCAGUUCUGUAACGCUUGUCGUGCAGCUCAGCGACGGAAGUUUUGUAGUGCGGCUGUAAUCGCGUGGGCUGUGGGUAUGUAGUCACUCACAUAGAGCUCACUAGUUUCUAGUUGCGUUUCAGUGUACCAUUGUACUUGAUGUAUGUGUAUGUGAUUCACUUCUAAAUUUUUUUGACAAAGUGCAGCUCGCUAGUGUUGUCUUCGGUGUGCUGCUGUGAUGGGCUAGUUUCCUGUUGCAUCUCCGGUGGCUUGGAGUACCAUGGCUGGCGUGUGCGGGCCGUCCUGAUGGCGUGGGCAUGCCGUUCACUUGGAGCACAAUGGCUGGCUGUGUGCAUGCAGUCCCGAGAGCGUGGGCAUGUCAUUCACUUUAUUUUGUUUUGAAGAAAAAAUGUCAGUGCAGUGUCGUUCGAUUUAUUUGUUCAGAAAAAAGAAAAGGUCUUCUACACUUCAUUUUGAUUUUUAGGUUGAUGGGUGUGUGGUUCAAAAAAAUGUAAUGUGGUGCACUUUCGACACCACUUCGAUUCACUUUUAAUGGUGUUGCGGUUCCUUAUGCCCGAUGUGAAGUCAAAAAAAAAAGUUAGGGAACGGUAAAAAACUCACAUGAGGUUCACUUUCAGGUAGUGCCGCGUUUCACUUUCGGAAGUGUUGUGGUUCACUUACGCCGUACGUGAAGCGUUGUCCACUUGCUCGCCUGAGAAAAAUUACGUCUAAAUAAAAGAAAUCAUG